UUUUUCUUCCUUCAGUACUGGUCUUCCAGGUACAAUCUUGUUCUGAUCUGCUGGCAGCAAUCAGUAAUGAUGUAUAAGCUAGCAUAUCAGCUGCUGCUUCAGCUUCCAUGAGACCUCCAUUGAGUCAGUAUUUGAAGCUCCUGCUUAUCACCACAUGAACUGUGUCCUGAGGAGAAGCAAGAUCCACAGACUAUGUCCAUAGUGCCAAGCCCUGGAGGAGAAGGGUAGUACUGACAGCACCUUCAUCCACACAAAGUCCUUACCUGCUUGUUUCAAGUGCCUAGACAAGGGAAAACCAAUGCCUGCAAAGGGGAUGCUAGGGACUGGCAGGCCCCUGGACUGACUCAGCUCACACCCCAUUAGCUCCAUGUGACACCAUCUGGGACAUCAGGUUUUGCAAAUAAUUUUGCUUCCAAGACCCGUGGCUUUCCCCUUCAAGCUCUCUACUCUCUGCAGUGUGUUUGUGUUUAUAUUAGCCACACCACUGCAAGCUAAGAUGCCGAUUCAUCUUCAAAUGUGCCACAAGAUAGAAGUUAACGGUCCAGCUGAGGGACUUGAAGCAGGGAACAGUGUUAGUGCUGCAAGUCAUCUGUUCUGUUUGCCAAAGCAGUAGUUGUGUCACAUAGGAGCCAGCUGCCCUUGAAGUAUCUUCUCUCUGCAUGAGUGGCAGUGGGUAUUGUUGCGCAGUAUAUAAACCUCCUUUUGUCAGCUUGCAUUAAGCACAGAAUUGACUUGUAAGACAUUUGUACUUGGAGAGAGAUGAGCGAUGUCUUGUCUUUAACAAAGGAUACAUCAGUGCUGCAGCAGACAGGUGAGAUACCAGAGCUGGUUUCUUGGAAAACGACACCAGUAUGGUCAAAGUUUUCUGCUGUCAGAAAGCAAGUGUAGUCCUGUGUGAUCUUCCUGC